rnacentral:rRNA from 1 species
GAUGAACGCUAGCGGCAGGCCUAAUACAUGCAAGUCGAACGGCAGCACAGCAGAGCUUGCUCUGUGGGUGGCGAGUGGCGGACGGGUGAGGAAUACAUGGGAAUCUGCCCAGUCGUGGGGGAUAACGUAGGGAAACUUACGCUAAUACCGCAUGCGCCCUUCGGGGGAAAGCCGGGGACCUUCGGGCCUGGCGCGAUUGGAUGAGCCCAUGUCGGAUUAGCUAGUUGGCGGGGUAACGGCCCACCAAGGCGACGAUCCGUAGCUGGUCUGAGAGGAUGAUCAGCCACACUGGAACGGAGACACGGUCCAGACUCCUACGGGAGGCAGCAGUAGGGAAUAUUGGACAAUGGGCGCAAGCCUGAUCCAGCCAUGCCGCGUGAGUGAAGAAGGCCCUCGGGUUGUAAAGCUCUUUUGUCCGGAAAGAAAAGCACUGGGUUAAUACCCUGGUGUCCUGACGGUACCGGAAGAAUAAGCACCGGCUAACUUCGUGCCAGCCGCCGCCGUAACAC